rfam:Clostridium tetanomorphum DSM 665 contig3, whole genome shotgun sequence.
UUAAAAAACAUAUAAUUUACUCAUAUAUCCCCUGAAUAUGGCAGGAAGUAUCUACCAGGAGCCGUAAAUUCCUGACUAUGAGUGAAAUUUAAGCUUGU